rnacentral:rRNA from 1 species
ACAGCAGCCGCCGCGGUAAUACGGAGGAUCCGAGCGUUAUCCGGAAUUAUUGGGUUUAAAGGGUGCGUAGGCGGAUAGAUAAGUCAGUGGUGAAAGACGGUGGCUCAACCAUCGCAGUGCCGUUGAUACUGUUUAUCUUGAAUAUGGAUGAGGUAGGCGGAAUGUGGCAAGUAGCGGUGAAAUGCAUAGAUAUGCCACAGAACACCGAUUGCGAAGGCAGCUUACCAAGGCAAAAUUGACGCUGAGGCACGAAAGCGUGGGGAUCGAACAGGAUUAGAUACCCCGGUAGUCCCUGUCUCUUAUAC